AGACUGAGGUAGUUGUUAAGGCUCCCCGGGUAAUUCCACUGUAUAUCCCGUCUUGAGACCCAUUGAUCUAGGACCUUACUAAUCAAAGCGUUGUAUGAAGACCAGCAGCAUCGUAUCACCUCGGACUUGUGAGACUUGUUAGACACGUAGAAUCUCAGGCCCCACCCCGGCAUCUCCAGUUUAAAAAUCCCCAGGAGAUUUGGACUCUAUUAAAGUGUGCGUAGCUGGGGUUUUCAAACUUGACUGCACAUUAAAAUCAUCUGGAGAGCUUUUAAAAAUCCCAAUGCUCAGGCCACACCUCAUACCAAUUAAAUCCAAAUUUCUGAGGGUGGGAGGCAAGCAAUUUUUUAACAGGUUUUCAGGUGAUUCCAACGUGCAUGAGUUCUCAGCCGUGGAUACAUAUUAGAAUCACCUGGGGAGCUUUUAAAUCUCCCGAUGCCCAAACCGUACUCUCAUAAAUUCUGAUUUAAUUGGUCUAGGAUAGGCGGCAAAACGAUUCCUAGGUGAUUGUAAUAUGCAGCUAGUGGAGCCUCCCUUCCAGAAUGUUGGUUCAGCUUCACUGAAGGUACAACCAGCUUAAAAACCCUCACUGCAAGUCAGUGGAUCCAGUAACAGUUGGAGAAAAAGAAUGAGCAGGCCAUGGCUAGACUUAGUUUCCAGGGCUUUGAUAUUUGAUCUCCUUACAUGUGAUAACUACGAUUCUUUUUUUUUUUAUGAAUUCAGAUAUUUAUAUGCUCCUCUAGUUUUCUAAUAAAGUUCCUUUUGAAAAAUUCAACCUCAAUGCAGCUGAGUUAAGAGAUAAAAGCACUGGCCUACACCUGGGGCCACAGGAUCUCAGAGCAGCUAAGGGGUCAGGUGGGAUGGAGGCAAGAGAGGUUAUGGUGGAGAACUUGGGUGCGCCGGGACCGAGAGGAAGACCCUGACGGAUAAGCAAAAGUGGACUCUUUAGUAUGGUUAUUUGGAUGAUGGUUUUGAUUUGAAGAAUCAAAAGCCAUGGUAUGUGAGGGCUACAAGCCAGGAUACUACACUUAAUUGACAUAUCUUCUUAAACGCCUCUGAUUUGUGACGGUUUCUCAGUCUUUCCUGCUUUUCAUGACCUUGACGCCUUUGAAGAGAAGUGAAGUGAGAUCUCACUACGUUGCCCAGGCUGGUCUUCAACUCCUAACCUCAAGUGAUCCUCCCAUCUCAGCAUCCCAAAGUGUUGCGAUUACAGAAAAUAACUUCAUUCUGCAAUUGAAAGAAUCACAGCAAGCUCUCAUUGUAUCAAGGCAAACUGGCGGUCAUACUCUUCUCUAAAUGAGCCAACACUCCCUAGGAGACCUCAGUAGAACUCCCUCUUCUCUGCUGGAAAGGUUUUGCCUCCCCAGGACCCAUACCUCACCAUCCAUGCAUGACAUUCUGGCCUCAAGUAUCCACUCCUCAAAGGGGAAACAGUCACCAAGUACAGGAAACAGCCAGUGCAAAUAUUCUGAGGAAAAGAAAUUGGAGAGAUUCGCCUUGAAAAUAAGCCUUCAUAUUAGUGACUUCCUUCUUUUAAAGGACAUCGAACAAGUUUUGUG